CAGAGCUGUCACCAGAGUCCCAGUUGGUGACACCGGAGAGCUGGGUUUCCAGGAGAGGUGGAAUCGUGACCCUGCCCUCAGAGCUCUCCUGGGGCCCUCACAGCUUUUCCCUGCAUCAUGUGACAGCCUCCGCCGGCAAAUCACCCCAAGAGCGUCCCCAAAAGAAUGAGACUCCGAGGAAGAGGUGUCAGCAGGCCAGUGGCAAGGACACACUGACAAUCACACCCUUGGCAGCCACUGCCCGAAUUCUAGAAUAUCUGGGGCUGAAUCGCUCCUCUCUACUCCAGAGCAGGAUGGCCCAGCCUACACAUAACUUUCAGAUCAACUGUUUGAGAAGGAAAUAAAAGCACCAAUUUCUGCCAGACACAUCUACAUGAUGCAAGAAAAUUCAGAUUAAUCCUAACUACAACAUGAGUUCAUUAUCCUAGUAAUAUGCUGUGUGGCCCAAGAAUCUGAUCUUAAAACACAAGAGCAAAACAACAACCUCUCUACCCCAACAAACACCACCAGGAGAAACAAAGUUUGCCCAUGCUUUUUGGGAAAGGAAGGUGGACAAGGUUUGGUUGUGGGUCAUUCUGGGCCCUCAGGGCAGCUGGCUUCCUUUCCCAGUCCCCAAGCCGCAGAGCCCAAAUGCCAGGGAACAUGGGCUGUGGCCUGGGGAGCUGCCUCUGCUGAGAGGCACACAGGGAGGUGCUUCUUUGGUGACGAGGGUCAGGACAAGGGAACUUUGUGAACUGAUGGCCUAGGACACAUCUGACCGUGUGCGAGGGAAUGCAGGACACCCU
rnacentral:lncRNA from 1 species